UGGGGAAUAUUGGACAAUGGGCGAAAGCCUGAUCCAGCAAUGCCGCGUGAGUGAUGAAGGCCUUAGGGUUGUAAAGCUCUUUUACCAGGGAUGAUAAUGACAGUACCUGGAGAAUAAGCUCCGGCUAACUCCGUGCCAGCAGCCGCGGUAAUACGGAGGGAGCUAGCGUUGUUCGGAAUUACUGGGCGUAAAGCGUACGUAGGCGGUGACUCAAGUCAGAGGUGAAAGCCUGGAGCUCAACUCCAGAACUGCCUUUGAAACUAGGUCGCUAGAAUCACGGAGAGGUGAGUGGAAUUCCGAGUGUAGAGGUGAAAUUCGUAGAUAUUCGGAAGAACACCAGUGGCGAAGGCGGCUCACUGGACGUGUAUUGACGCUGAGGUACGAAAGCGUGGGGAGCAAACAGGAUUAGAUACCCAGGUAGUCCCUGAGCGGGCUGGCAAGGCGC
rnacentral:rRNA from 1 species